AUAACAGGCCUGUGACAGCCUAAGGUUCAUAGCAACAUUGCUUUAUGAUCCUUCAAUGUCGGCUCUUCCUAUCCAACGGAAGAAGAAUUCAGUAAGUACUAGAUUGUUCACCCAAUAAUAGGGAACAAGACUCCGGCAUGAAACAGUUU
rnacentral:ncRNA from 1 species